AUUGAACGCUGGCGGCAGGCCUAACACAUGCAAGUCGAACGAGUGGCGGACGGGUGAGUAAUGUCUGGGAAACUGCCUGAUGGAGGGGGAUAACUACUGGAAACGGUAGCUAAUACCGCAUACCAUCGGAUGUGCCCAGAGGGGAUUAGCUAGUAGGUGGGGGAACGGCUCACCUAGGCGACGAUCCCUAGCUGGUCGGAGAGGAUGAACAGCCACCCUGGAACUGAGACACGGUCCAUACUCCGACGGGAGGCAGCAGUGGGGAAUAUUGCACAAUUGGCGAAAGCCUGAUGCAGCCAUGCCGCGUGUAUGAAGAAGGCCUUCGGGUUGUAAAGUACGUUCAGCGGUGAGGCGUUACCCGCAGAAGAAGCACCGGCUAACUCCGUGCCAGCAGCCGCGGUAAUUC
rnacentral:rRNA from 1 species